rnacentral:tRNA from 1 species
ACACAAACGGGAUUAACCUAGAUGAUAUACGGAAUCAAAUGGAAGAUUUGUGUUCAUAGCAUCUUCGUACGAUC